AGCCGGGCCCCGCGCGACCUCGGUCUGUGAACCCCGUCAGAUCCGGAAGGAAGCAGCGGCAGCAGUCGCCGAAGUGUGUUGCGGGUCGCCUGGCUAUC
rnacentral:SRP_RNA from 1 species